UACGUAGGGUGCGAGCGUUAAUCGGAAUUACUGGGCGUAAAGCGUGCGCAGGCGGUUUUGUAAGCCAGAUGUGAAAUCCCCGGGCUCAACCUGGGAACUGCAUUUGUGACUGUAGAGCUGGAGUGCGGCAGAGGGGGAUGGAAUUCCGCGUGUAGCAGUGAAAUGCGUAGAUAUGCGGAGGAACACCGAUGGCGAAGGCAAUCCCCUGGGCCUGCACUGACGCUCAUGCACGAAAGCGUGGGGAGCAAACAGG
rnacentral:rRNA from 1 species